GCUGGGAUAGCUCAUUCAGAAGAGUACGAGACUCUGAACCUCAGGGUUGCGGGUUCGAGCCCCACAUUGGGCA